GGAUACCAUGACCGAUCACCAUCGAGAAAGAAGAAUUUUUCUAAAUCACUUCGGGUGAGCGGGGCCUUCAAGCAUCCGAAAUACGCCGGGGUUGUAAAUGACAUAGCCUUCCUGAUAGAAAAUGACGACUCCUUCAUAAAAACAAAGUUAUUCAAGUUCUUUUUUUUACCAAAGAAGUCCCGCUCUGACGGCCCGACGAGUCAUCUACUAAAAAGGACCCUCCCCGCUGUGCGCCCCUCCUUGAAUUAUUCGGUCAUGCAAUACUUUUUUAAUACAAAGAACAAAAUGCAUUUCGACCCCGUCGUAGUUCUCAAUCAUUUCGUGGCACCGGGUGUGGCUG
rnacentral:misc_RNA from 1 species